GUCCUGGCCGUAAACGAUGGGCGCUAGGUGUGGCCGGCGUACAGCCGGCCGUGCCGAAGCUAACGCAUUAAGCGCCCCGCCUGGGGAGUACGUCCGCAAGGAUGAAACUCAAAGGAAUUGACGGGGACCCGCACAAGCGGUGGAGCAUGUGGUUUAAUUCGACGCAACGCGAGGAACCUUACCAGGGUUUGACAUCCAGUGGACAAGGCCCGAGAAGGCCCUCUCUUCGGAGCCGCUGGACAGGUGCUGCAUGGCUGUCGU
rnacentral:rRNA from 1 species